rnacentral:lncRNA from 1 species
UGUCGGAGUCGUAUCAAAAGGUCGACUAGUUUUGUGCAUUUUAUACGACUAUCUUGUUUUAACGUUCGUUGGUCCCAAGGACGAUCUACCGUAUAUAUAUAUGUCGGAGAGUGACUUUCAUUAUUUUCGGCGGACAUGUUCAUUAUAAGUACGUACGUUAUGUCAUCUUACACUUGACUACAUGUAUCAACAUAUUUAUCAACAUAAUCAACAAGUAAUUUAAGUAUCGUGGUUUUUAAAUAUAUAAUGUUUAGCUGCAAUUGAGAACCGCGAUAUUAAAUGGACACCCUACAUAUUAUAAUAAAUUAAAUUAUUACUAUAAAUAUGGAAUAAUAUAUGUAUAUAUUUAUAACAAUUUUGUAAACUUAUUAGCACAAAAAUCAAAAUAAUUUCGAUAAACAAAAUGCAUUUCUACCCAUAGCUCUAAAUACAUUUUUGUAUAAAUGUGUAUGAUAUAGAUCAAUAUAAAGGCACAUAUUUAUGUAUGUUAUAACUCUUUCCUCACACAUACUUUUUUCACAUUCUUUUUUCUCAAUAAAAGUUACCUCUAACAAAGACGCCAAGUCCUUCGAUAACGUCCACCAGAACUAAACCAGAUAAGGCAUUUGCCCCACCAGCAGCAGAAAGCCAGACAAAGAUAAAUCGAAGCACAACUAAGCUUCAGGGGACAUAGUAUUUAGACGUUUAUUCUGUUCAUUUUAUUUUAAGUUAAUGUCUCAUUUAUAAAUAAACGUAAUAUAUUACGUUUCGUGGUUUUCAAAAUAAAUAACAAUUGGCGCAGUCGUUAGCAGGGCCGCAAGGGUGAAGCGCCACAGACCUAUGCGCUGCAGGCGAAAAGGUUGUUUUUUGGGGUGCCACGCCCUUUUUUACAUUUAUUUUAAAAUUAUGCUUUUAAAAAUUUUAUUUUUAUUGAAAAUAAUAAUUAAUAAAUUAUUAAUUAAUAAAAAAAAACAUCUGUAAUCUGUCACCUUAAACUAGAACUUUUAUUAGGUUAAAUGUUAAAUAUAGGUGUUUUUCUUAAUUUAACGGUAGCAAGUUCUUUUAUAACUUCAUCAAAAUCGAUUUUGUCAACCAACUCCUGCUCUAUAGCUAAUACUGCUAGCCCAGAUAGUCUCUCGUGAUACCUAGUUGAUUGAAGAAAAUCUUUUAUUAUUUUUAAUUUUAAAAAUGACGGCUCUAGAAGCCGCAGAUACUGGUAAAGUUAAGAGUAUUCUUAAGGAAAUUGUAACAUUUGGCAGAGAUGAGGUUAAAUUGUGUUCAAAUAUAUAUUGCAAUAUAUCCAGAGGAUUUAAAGAAUGAGGAAUUGAAAAUAACUUUAAAGGUUUAAUCUCAUUAAACAAAACAUCUGCCUCAAUAUCAGCCUUUACCUCUACCGCAUCAGUAAGCUUCUGUUGUAGAGCUUGGCAGUUGUUUAGGAGAGCAUCAUCACAUACUAGUACUUGAUCAAUAGUACUUGAACUCAAAAAAAAAUUAACUUAACGCGGUUUUGAGAUUUUGAGGUGCUUUAUCCCUAUGUUCAUAAUCAAGAAACUUAAUCUAAAAUAAAACAUCAUACCAAAUAAUUACACUACAAAUGAAUUCAAAUGUUUUGAUAUUUAAUAGUAAAAAACUUGCUUUAUGCCUACUUUCUAUGUAAAAAAAUCGUUAUCCGCUAUUUCUAGAAAACUCUUACAAAUUUUAAUUAAAUUAAAUUUUAUUGGCUUUAUAGCAUCUACCCUACUUGACCAUCUAGUUUUUGUAAGCCAAUAUGCUUACCACGCAUAUUGGCACCGUUAUUAUACCCUUGACCUCUCAUAACUUAGUCCUUUUCCUGUAGAAUCGAAUAUUGGGCUAAAAGCUAAAAAACUCUCUUGUAUCUGAACUUUUUUACAAUCAUGAUUUAACACCACAUAACGCAAAACAAGGCUUAUUUGUUUUGUGUGACUGUAUCUGGGGUACAGUACAUAAUUAUUAAAUAAUAUUUGGAAUUGCGUACCAUAUUUAAAAUAUUAUUUUUUACUUUAGAAGACAUUAAUUCUACAAUUUGAUAGCCUAAAUAAUGGGUUUUUUUUUAAAGAAUUUUACUGGGAGUUCUGAAUUCUAUUAAGAUGUUCUCUCAUCACAGGGUCAAAUGAGGAAAUCAUCUCGAUCGCCUUUAAAAAAUUCCGUUAUCAGGUUGAAAAAGUAUUUUAGAAGAACCCCGAAAUGCUAGACAUUGUCGGGACAAAAAUUUUACGACUGCAAGAAUUCUUUCCAGAAUAUCAUGAAAAUUUUUUUUUCGGUUUCUAAAAUCCCUAAAUGAUGAUCGUUUACAGUAAUUUAUUUGUUAAGAAACGAUUUUAUUUAAUAUUGCUCGAUCUGUAUAGUUGUUUAUUGUUUGUUUUUAAUUUUGCAAUAGUUUUUUGAACUACUUCUACUCAACCGAUUUUUACAAAACUUUCCGCACAUAUUUUAGUAGGUUUCCGUGAAAAUAUUAUAUUAUUAUAUUUUAUGUUUAACCCUUGGUUUAAGCCCACAGUAUCAACCCCUGAGCAAGGGUGAGAGCUGCCUUCAAAUGUUUAAAUUAGAAGGAGAUCAAGUGAUAAGUGAUACCUCGUUUUAAAGGUCUUUUUAUCCUGAAUUUAAUGUUGUAGUCGUAGAGUACAGAAAAUUCUAGUCAAGUAAGAAACUAAGAACAAAAAAAUAGAAAGUAUAGGUAAAAAUAUUUUUAAGAUACAUUUAACAAUUAAAAAUAAAAACGUGGAGGCGCAAAAUUAAAUUAAUUGUUAAUUUUUAAAGAGGUUAGAAUUUUUAGAAAGUCUUAUAAUGUGUCCUAAUUUUUAUUUUCAGGUGUUUAGUACACGAGAUUCUAUUUAAAGUAGUAGUUUAACUUCAUCCUGCGCAUUAUUAUAUAUUUUUUUGCUGGAUUUUAAUUUUUUUUUGCCAAACCUGGCGCUUCUUUCUAGUGGCGUUGCACGCCCGGUUACGGGGACCCUGGUCGUUAGUAGGAUCUGGAAAACGGUACUAGAACACGACAACCAAUCAGGAAUCCCGACGAAUUGUGACGUCAUCACUCACGAUGAACUACGAAAGGAACACCUGGUAGUUAAAUCGGCGUAGAGAACAAGAUGAUCAGCUAGAUGAUUACCUUACUGGGACAGAAAACGAGAGCAACGGAGAGGUCAACUCACAUUGAUGAUGAUCAAGCAUUACCUAGUACUUCAAAUACAUCAACUGUUGGAACUUCUUAUAAUGAAGAUACUCCAAAAAAGAAAAAACUCAGACAGCAGCUAUUAAAACAGGUUAUAAAAAGUAAGGAGAAAUUUUGAAAAAUCAAAGUUUUAGGACAAAAAAUUAAACGAUAUAAGAAAAAAAUUGAUUCUUUAAAACAUUAUACAUCAGUUAAAGUCAACAAAUUUAGUUUCUGAAAAUGUAUUAAUAUUACAAAGAAUGCCGAAAAUUACAAAAGAACUAUUAAAACGUCAAUGGGAAAAGAAAAAAUAUUCAUCAUAUUUACGAAGAUUUACCUUAACAUUCAGUUUUUUCUCUCCAAAAGGUUAUGAUUAUGUGAGACAAAUGUGUGACAAUUAAGUGUUUGAUACAUAUUUACCACAUCAAAGCUCGAUUGGUAAGUGAUUUAAAAAUAUAAAUGCAAGUUCUGGUUUUACUGGUAUCAUGUAGCCGGUAUCUGGUAUCAGAAGCAUUUGAUGUUCUUAAAAAACAUGUUUCUAAAUCAAAUAAAUCAAUCAUUUGGACAUUAUGGUGGUGCGUCGCCGAGCGGAACAUAGGAAAACCAAUGUAAAUUGUAAGGGGGUCAAUUAUUGGCUUUCCUGUACAUUUUAUAGGAAAAAUGUAAGAUAACUUUUUGAAGAGACCAAUCUGGCAAACCCUUGUGCAAAGUUUCAAAAAAUUUUAAUAAGCGAAUCUUGAAUUAUUUAAUUAAAUAUAAUUGCAAAAUUAGCAAAUUUUCGGUUCAGGUAAAACCAAACGGGCACCAGUAAAAUGAAUAUUGUCACUGACGUGAGGAAAAGUGUCAAUUAAUCAGUGACAGUCAAUAUUUGAAAACAAGUAUGAAUUAUUCAAUCGACGGAAAAAUAGCCAUAAUUAAGUGGCAUUAUGCGGGAAACAGUUUUAGAGCGGUAUCUGAAAUGUUUUCAGUUUAUUUCCCCACCAAGCCCAUUCCGUCCAUUUUAACUAUUAAACGUAUUGUCAAUAAGUUCGAGUCCAAAGGUACCGUAAUAAAUAAUUGUAAAUGUUCAACUCAGGAUAUCGAAAAUAGAGCCGAAGAAAGAGAGAACAGAGAUCUUAAUAUUCUACUGAGUGUGGAGUAAAACAAGAUGGUUAGUACGAGGGUUCUUGGGAAAGAGGUAAAUAAACAUCAUACAACGGUAUUGCGCGCUUUAAAAAAACACAAAUAUUAUUCGUAUAAAUCCGAAAAACAUCAAGAGCUGCAGGAAGGAGAUGAAGAGCGAAGAAUGGCAUUUUGUUUUGAAAAGAUGGAAAGAGCAAAUAAAAAUAGGAAUUUUUUAAGAAAUAUUUGUUUUGCCGUCGAAUGUACAUUUACCCUCAACAAUGAACCAAAUGGAGCCAAGAAAAUGAACUUCGCUUUGUUCAUACUCGAUAUCUCAAACACAAUAUCCCCCAAAAACAAAUGUAUUCGUGGGAAUUAUCGGACACCAUAUCAUUGGACCCUUUUUUAUAGACUAUAACCUAACAGCUGAAACCUAAUCAAAUUGAACCCGCCUUGGAAGAAGUUGUUCAGGAAGAUCAAAUGAUCUGAUACCAAAUGGAUGGUUGGCCGGCCCAUAAUGCCCGUAUGGUUAGAGAGUGCUUGGAAAAUGCUUUUAACAGCAAUAAUAUUGGUCCACGGUACCGGAUACUUGGCCAGCCAGGUCACCUGAUCUUUCACCGAAUGACUUCUUUUUGUGGGGUCAUUUAAAAAGUGUCAUUUAUAAAAGUGUAAAAUUUGAGAAUUUAAACUAGUUACAAAAUGCUAUUUCGUUAGAAUGUAAUAAAAUUUCCCAAUAUCAACUUAGUAACGUUAGAAAUGAAUUUUAUGAUCGGUUAGGAUAUUGUUUAGCUGUUAAUGGGGGGUUGUUUGAACAUUUGAUUAAUUGAUGUUUUUAUGUAAUUCUCUAUUUUUAAAAAAGUUAUUAUAUUUUAUUUUAUUUUAUUUUAUUUUUCCACACUUAGUAAAAUAUUAAGAGUUCUGUUCUCUCUUUUUUGGAUCUAUUUUCGAUCUUCUGACUUAAACAUUUACAAUUAUUUAUUGCAAUGUCUUUGGACUCGAAUUUACUAACAAUAGGUUUAAUGGUUGAAAUGGACCAGAUAGGCUUGAUGGGAAAAUAAAUUGAAAAUAUUUCAGAUACUGCUAUUGGUUUAAUUAAAUUCUAAGUAUGGUAAAAUUAUUUUGUUAAUAAUCGAUAAUAAUAAUUGUUAUUGGCUUAACUUCAUCGUUAUAUUAAAUAAAAGUUUACCUAUAUAAAAAAGUAAUGUUAACGUGUCUUACUUUGAAUGUAUGGUUGUGAGAUUGAUAAAACGAAAAAAAACAUUUCUUGUAAUCGGCUGUACGUCAGAUUUGACAAAGCCUUAUAACCAAUCGUUUGCUGGUGGCUGGUGUCUGGUUUUACCUGAACCGAAAAUUUGGUAAUUUUGCAAUUACAUUUAAUUGAAUAAUUCAAGAUUUGGUUAUUCAAAUUUUUUGAAACUUUGCACGAGGGUUUGCCAGAUUGGUCUCUUCAAAAAGUUAUGUUACAUUUUUUCUGUAAAAUGUACAGGGAAGUCAAUAAUUGACCCCCUUAAAAGCGACGCACCACCCGGUAGAAUGGGAGGGGAAAAUUUUACUUUUUUUUAUUAAAAACUUGAUUUUCAAGAUUUAAAGCCAUGUUUUUGGAGAAAAAAAGGUAACAAUAGAUGAGGACGGAAAUCACAUGAAAUAGGAUUAUAUUGAAAAGUUGGAACAAUUACAAAAUUAUAAGGGAAAAUAAGCUAAGCAAAUCUCUUUAACCAAAAAAUGAAAAUUAAACUAGCGAUCCAGUUACUUAGUGAGUCUGUGACAGACUCCUUAAUCUACUGUAAAGAGAAAUUAGGAUUAUAUGAAUUCAAAGGUUGGUUAGGUGCUAAAUUUAUUAAAACAUAUAAUCACAUUUUUGACAUCUUAAAUAGUAGGUCUCUUAUUCCACCAGGAUACAAAAAAGAUCUUUGUUAGAGAAAUAUUGAAAGAAACAUAGUUUUUCUUAAUGAUGCGAUAUUCUAUUUCUGCCAGUUUAAAUUUAGUGAUGGUGAAUUAGUUUUACAUUCUAGAAGGAAGACAGUUUUUACAAGUUUAAUUAUUUCUCUUAAAAGUGCUUUAAUACUCUAUGAUAAUUUUGUCAACGAAAAAAAGUUUAUUUAUCUACCAUUAUA